AAAAUCAAUUGUUUAGGACAAGGUUCCUAAGGAUCCUAACAAGCCUAAGAGGCCUGCAACCGCUUUUUUCAUUUUCAUGGAGACUUUUCGAGCUGAGUUUAAGGAAAAUAAUCCUGGAAAUGCAAAUGGAAAUGCAAACGAGUCUGUUGAUUCAAAUCCCAGUGUUGUCAUUUUAGUUUUUAAUGGGAGGAAAAGCUGGACAUCAUGCAUCAGUUUUUGACAAGUACCGGCUCAAAUAAACGGUUAGCUUUUGACAGUUUUAGUUGGUGUUGCAUUUUGCUCAGAAGAUACAAAAACUUGCAUAUGCGUAUGCGUCAUUGUUUUUCUGCCCAUGUUUAGUGGUGCUAAAUACCAAACUUGAUAUAAUGCCAGUAUCUCUUCUUAUAUAUAAAGUUUUGACAUGGUGAUGGUGUUUGUUCGGUCUACAAUUUGGGCUCCCAAGUUCCUGCAGCCUUGCAGGUGGUGAUGGUAUAUAGCUAGCAUGGGAUGAUUACACCAUUUGGGUUCCUCAGAUUAAGAUGCUAAAUUAAGUCCGUCAAGGCAUUGUUCAAUUCGUCAAGUUUUAGUUCAGUAGUUAUAUUCUCUAAUUUAUCAGAUCUUUUUGUUAUUUA